rfam:Stegodyphus mimosarum contig83904, whole genome shotgun sequence.
GCCCUCGUAGUGUAGUGCUCACCACGCUCGGCGCGUAUUCGAGAGGUCCGAGGUUCGAAUCCCGGCGCGGGCA